rnacentral:rRNA from 1 species
UACGAAGGGGGCUAGCGUUGCUCGGAAUCAUUGGGCGUAAAGGGUGCGUAGGUGGCGGGGUAAGUCAGGUGUGAAAUCUCGGAGCUCAACUCCGAAACUGCACUUGAUACUGCCUUGCUCGAGUACUGGAGAGGAGAUUGGAAUUUACGGUGUAGCAGUGAAAUGCGUAGAUAUCGUAAGGAAGACCAGUGGCGAAGGCGAAUCUCUGGACAGUUACUGACACUGAGGCACGAAGGCCAGGGGAGCAAACGGG